rnacentral:rRNA from 1 species
UCUGGCAAGUCGAACGAACUUCCGUUAAUUGAUUAUGACGUGCUUGCACUGAAUGAGAUUUUAACACGAAGUGAGUGGCGGACGGGUGAGUAACACGUGGGUAACCUGCCCAGAAGCAGGGGAUAACACCUGGAAACAGAUGCUAAUACCGUAUAACAGAGAAAACCGCCUGGUUUUCUUUUAAAAGAUGGCUCUGCUAUCACUUCUGGAUGGACCCGCGGCGCAUUAGCUAGUUGGUGAGGUAACGGCUCACCAAGGCGAUGAUGCGUAGCCGACCUGAGAGGGUAAUCGGCCACAUUGGGACUGAGACACGGCCCAGACUCCUACGGGAGGCAGCAGUAGGGAAUCUUCCACAAUGGACGCAAGUCUGAUGGAGCAACGCCGCGUGAGUGAAGAAGGGUUUCGGCUCGUAAAGCUCUGUUGUUAAAGAAGAACGUGGGUGAGAGUAACUGUUCACCCAGUGACGGUAUUUAACCAGAAAGCCACGGCUAACUACGUGCCAGCAGCCGCGGUAAUACGUAGGUGGCAAGCGUUAUCCGGAUUUAUUGGGCGUAAAGCGAGCGCAGGCGGUCUUUUAAGUCUAAUGUGAAAGCCUUCGGCUCAACCGAAGAAGUGCAUUGGAAACUGGGAGACUUGAGUGCAGAAGAGGACAGUGGAACUCCAUGUGUAGCGGUGAAAUGCGUAGAUAUAUGGAAGAACACCAGUGGCGAAGGCGGCUGUCUGGUCUGUAACUGACGCUGAGGCUCGAAAGCAUGGGUAGCGAACAGGAUUAGAUACCCUGGUA